CAGCCGCCGCGGGAAAACGUAGGGUGCAAGCGUUAUCCGGAAUUAUUGGGCGCAAAGAGCUCGUAGGCGGUUUGUCGCGUCUGCUGUGAAAACUGGAGGCUCAACCUCCAGCCUGCAGUGGGUACGGGCAGACUAGAGUGCGGUAGGGGAGAUUGGAAUUCCUGGUGUAGCGGUGGAAUGCGCAGAUAUCAGGAGGAACACCGAUGGCGAAGGCAGAUCUCUGGGCCGUAACUGACGCUGAGGAGCGAAAGCAUGGGGAGCAAACAGGAUUAGAUACCCGAGUAGUCCCUGUCUCUUAUAC
rnacentral:rRNA from 1 species